rnacentral:rRNA from 1 species
UGGAGAGUUUGAUCCUGGCUCAGAGCGAACGCUGGCGGCAGGCUUAACACAUGCAAGUCGAACGGGCACCUUCGGGUGUCAGUGGCAGACGGGUGAGUAACACGUGGGAACGUGCCCUUCGGUUCGGAAUAACUCAGGGAAACUUGAGCUAAUACCGGAUACGCCCUUCUGGGGAAAGGUUUACUGCCGAAGGAUCGGCCCGCGUCUGAUUAGCUUGUUGGUGGGGUAACGGCCUACCAAGGCGACGAUCAGUAGCUGGUCUGAGAGGAUGAUCAGCCACACUGGGACUGAGACACGGCCCAGACUCCUACGGGAGGCAGCAGUGGGGAAUAUUGGACAAUGGGCGCAAGCCUGAUCCAGCCAUGCCGCGUGAGUGAUGAAGGCCUUAGGGUUGUAAAGCUCUUUUGUCCGGGACGAUAAUGACGGUACCGGAAGAAUAAGCCCCGGCUAACUUCGUGCCAGCAGCCGCGGUA